AUUGAACGCUGGCGGCAGGCCUAACACAUGCAAGUCGAGCGGAUGAAGGGAGCUUGCUCCCUGAUUCAGCGGCGGACGGGUGAGUAAUGCCUAGGAAUCUGCCUGGUAGUGGGGGACAACGUUUCGAAAGGAGCGCUAAUACCGCAUACGUCCUACGGGAGAAAGCCGGGGACCUUCGGGCCCUGCGCUAUCAGAUGAGCCUAGGUCGGAUUAGCUAGUUGGUGAGGUAAUGGCUCACCAAGGCGACGAUCCGUAACUGGUCUGAGAGGAUGAUCAGUCACACUGGAACUGAGACACGGUCCAGACUCCUACGGGAGGCAGCAGUGGGGAAUAUUGGACAAUGGGCGAAAGCCUGAUCCAGCCAUGCCGCGUGUGUGAAGAAGGUCUUCGGAUUGUAAAGCACUUUAAGUUGGGAGGAAGGGUUGCUGAUUAAUACUCUGCAAUUUUGACGUUACCGACAGAAUAAGCACCGGCUAACUCUGUGCCAGCCGCCGCGGUAA
rnacentral:rRNA from 1 species